UAUUAAAAUUUUCAUCUAUUUGUACUGUUAAAUAUUAGCGUGCUUAACAUAAUAGCCAAACAGUGACACGUGAUGUGUCAUGUAUACAUCAUAUUGACAUACAAAGACCAAUUUUUAAUAGUAGAAAUAUAUAGAAUUUUUAACA
rfam:Gossypium raimondii Chr13_contig_42, whole genome shotgun sequence.